rnacentral:misc_RNA from 1 species
GAUGAAGAACGUAGCGAAAUGCGAUACUUGGUGUGAAUUGCAGAAUCCCGUGAACCAUCGAGUCUUUGAACGCAAGUUGCGCCCGAAGCCUCGGCUAAGGGCACGUCUGCCUGGGCGUCACGCAUCGCGUCUCCCCCAAACCGCCAAGGCGGAGGGGAAGGAAGAUGGCUUCCCGUGCCUCACCCGGGCGCGGUUGGCCUGAAUUUGGAGCCCGCGGCACUUAGCUCUCGCGGCGAUAGGUGGUGAACAAGGCCUUGGCCGUGCAAACAACCCGCUGCGAAGCUCUAUGUCACGUGCGCUCGUCGGACCCUUUGAAGUUGCCUUUGGUGACUUAAAACCUUUGCGACCCCAGGUCAGGCGGGGCUACCCGCUGAAUUUAAGCAUAUCAUAAGCGGAGGA